CACCGACAAGAAGCGCAACAGCUGACGCAUUCCUAAAGGCGUUCAGAGAAAAAAUACUGGCGAGGGGAGGUGCACCAAAGCGAGUGAUCUCAGACAACGGCGUACAAUUUACAAGCAGAAAGACGAAACAGGUAAUGAAAACGUGGGGCAUCACCCAACAAUUCACGGCACCAUACACACCACAAGAAAACCCAACCGAACGAGCGAACCGAACACUAAAGACGAUGAUCGCACAAUUCGCGGGAAGGAAACACAACAAAUGGGACGAACAACUACCAGAACUAACCCUAGCGAUAAAUAGCAGCAAGUCAGAAGCAACAGGAUUUAGUCCAGCAUACCUGAUAUUCGGGAGAGAACUUAGAUUGCCGGGCAACCUAUUCGACGAGGUAACACUAGGGUCAGGGUUCAACAAUCAAACAAACCAGGAAAACACCGACAAACGAAAACAAACAGAAACAAUAGCAAGGAAAAACAUGGAAGAAGCAGCAGCAAAACAAGCAAGACAUUACAAUUUGCGAAAGCGAGCAUGGAAGCCAAAAAGAGGGGACUUAGUAUGGGUACGAACGCACCCACUAUCGAAAAAAAUCGACAAGACAACAGCGAAACUAGAACCGAAAUACACCGGUCCGUGCAAGACAGAUGGAAAAUAAAGAAGAUAAAUUCAACAUUUCGGCCCGGAAAUUCAAAGAAAGGAUGGCACAGGCCAGCCACAAAAACCGAGCGGCAAAACUACUAUCGGCCGCCCCCCCACUCAGCUCACGGAUGAAAGUAUCAGGAACAAAGGUGUCAGCACCCAGGUAAACAGCAACAAACAAAACGAUGGAAACCACGGCAGGACAGCGCGAGACUCGAGGAGAACAAGUAGCAACGCACAAUGAAGUAAUCCCAACAAAAAAGAGGAUCAGCUGGGCAAACCAGGCCAACCUACAGGAACAAACGGCACGAAGAAUCAGCGAACAACAAGGCCCGGAACUUUCCUGGGCAAAACAAGGGGAAGACGAAGAGUCCGACCGGGACGUGCUAGACCUAGGCCCCGAGCGGCCAACACCAGAACCGGAAACCCAGAAACCCAUCCAGAGAGGCACCAUCCCGGGCGAAUGGGAGGUCCCGGAAAAAUUCGAACUAGCGACCACGGCGAUCGAACUAGUCAAAGCAAAACUCCACGACCGCCCAAAACACACGCAACGACGGUACAAACUAUGGAACGAGAAACAGGAGACGUGUUGGGUGAAGAUCGGCCGAGCUGGAGAUGUCCGCAUCAGCGCAUGGUUCCAAACAAAGUCAAUUGGCGAAGCUCCACUGGGAAAGGAGAGGGGAGUGUGACGCCCAGCGCCAGGAAGACCAAGCGCCGGCGCCAC